rnacentral:lncRNA from 1 species
GUCUCAUUCAGGUUUGGCAGCGGGUUGGACCCUGGGCCAAGCUGCGAGGCCGUGGACAUCGCAGGAUCUGCUACAUUACAAUUGUGUGCACUGCUGAUGGGCUUGUCGUCUUCCUCGCUGUCUGGCCCAGAGCACCAUUCGUCCCCACUGUACGGCUGCUUCCUUUCCAGCACACACCGCCGCUUGCUGCGGGGAGCCACGUCGCCUUUCGAUUCGGUGUCCAGCGACGGGGUGCCGGCUUCUCUCUGCUCUCCGGAGUCCACUGAGAUGCUUCGUUCCCGUUU